rnacentral:rRNA from 1 species
AAUAGAUACCCCGGUAGUCCACGCCGUAAACGAUGUCGACUUGGAGGUUGUUCCCUUGAGGAGUGGCUUCCGGAGCUAACGCGUUAAGUCGACCGCCUGGGGAGUACGGCCGCAAGGUUAAAACUCAAAUGAAUUGACGGGGGCCCGCACAAGCGGUGGAGCAUGUGGUUUAACUCGAUGCAACGCGAAGAACCUUACCUACUCUUGACAUCCAGAGAACUUAGCAGAGAUGCUUUGGUGCCUUCGGGAACUCUGAGACAGGUGCUGCAUGGCUGUCGUCAGCUCGUGUUGUGAAAUGUUGGGUUAAGUCCCGCAACGAGCGCAACCCUUAUCCUUUGUUGCCAGCGGUCCGGCCGGGAACUCAAAGGAGACUGCCAGUGAUAAACUGGAGGAAGGUGGGGAUGACGUCAAGUCAUCAUGGCCCUUACGAGUAGAGCUACACACGUGCUACAAUGGCGCAUACAAAGAGAAGCGACCUCGCGAGAGCAAGCGGACCUCAUAAAGUGCGUCGUAGUCCGGA